GCCGCGUUGGCGUAGUGGUAGCGCGUCGCACUUGUAACAGCUGUCUUCCGUCAGCAAAGUGUAUGCGAAGGUCACUCGUUCAAUCCGGGUACGUGGCA